rnacentral:rRNA from 1 species
AACGAACGCUGGCGGCAGGCUUAACACAUGCAAGUCGAACGAGAAGCAUGUCUUCGGACAUGUGGACAGUGGCGCACGGGUGAGUAACGCGUGGGGACCUACCUUUCGGUGGAGGAUAACUGUUGGAAACGACAGCUAAUACUGCAUACGCCCUUCGGGGGAAAGAUUUAUCGCCGAAAGAUGGACCCGCGUCUGAUUAGCUAGUUGGUGAGGUAAGAGCUCACCAAGGCGACGAUCAGUAGCUGGUUUGAGAGGAUGAUCAGCCACACUGGGACUGAGACACGGCCCAG